rnacentral:lncRNA from 1 species
AGAACCUUUUCUUUAAUCACUUUUUCAAGCUCUUCUCUUGUUUUAAAGAUGAUUUCCUGUUCCAGGACAUGGAAAAACUGGUUCACCCAGAAAGAAGGAGCAGUGAGGAAUGGCGGUGUAUCCCUAUUUGUGAAAUGUUGCUUCCGGAGCCCUCAAUUCAAACCCAGCCAAGCAGGGCAACUUCUCCCGAUUUCAAAGAUGACUUAAGCUGUCUCCUUGAUUUUUUCCAACUGAUUUCCUGUCCAAUGACUCAUUUUUAACCUACAACUUUUAAUUUUAUCACUGAGAGAACUGGGAAAUUCAAAGAAACUAGUGAAGAUGCCGGAAGAAUUAGAUUAGAAGAGAUAUCUGCAUACAGAUUUCAUAAUUCUCCAAGCAAUGUUUAUUUUUAUGAAAAAGACCAAGAUUUUUAUUCACUGAGAUUAGUAGAGAGAGGUACAUUAGGCUUGAAAUUUCUUUCAUUUUAACUCUGCUAAUUUAAUCUAGUUUAAUUCAGUUCAAUUAAAUUUAUCAGACAUUUAUUAAGCAUCUAACGCAUGUUGGACAUUGUACCAGGCACUAGGGAUACAAAGAUAAAAAUGAAACUUCCUGCCCUCAAGGAGCUUACAUUCUGUAGUUAAUGUGAUAAUAGUGCACUAGUAAAGGCCUGUCUCUUAUUUCAACACAUUUCCAAAUAAUUUCUAAGCUAGGAAGUAGCAUAAUUUUUAAAGUGGUUGAUUUUCCAUUUUUGUUUCCUGAGUUGCCAUAGUCAAAUAAUUUAUCCACAAGGGGCUAGCCUACCAGUCAUGAGUCCUUCCAAACUUUGCUAAGCUGGACAUCAAAAAAUAUUAUUAAUCUAUUGUCAGGGUCAUACCUAAAGCCUUUCCCCCAUGGAAGAACCUGACAAAACCAAAGGAAGCUGGGUGGUACAGCAGAGAAAGCACUGGUCCUAGAAUCAGGAAGACCUGUAUUCUAAGCCAACCUCUGACACUUACUAAUUGUGUCAUCCUCUGCAACUUACACAUGGUCUAACUCAGUUUCCUCAGUUGUAAAAUGGGGAUAAUAAUAGCAUGAACCUCACAGGGUUGUUGUUGAGGAUCAAAUUAUAUGAUAUUUAUAGAGUCUGGUGUAGGGUCUGGCACAUAGCAGAUACUUAAUGAAUACUUCCUUCCAUUUUUCAUUGGCAUAGCUUUCUGGAAGCCGGGGCCAUCUCCAUGCAUCAAUGAAGAAUUGCACAAGAUGGCCAGACAUGAAUGGGUUGUAACCUACAUCAUAGAAGCAUGGUAGGUUCAGUAUGCUAACCCUUCUAUAAGUGCAAGUUGGGUUAAUUUUUCCUUAAAAGGUAUUGAGCAGGAACUAAAGAUUGAGACUGUCAACAUCUAAGUACAAGGCAGCCCUGAGGAGCUCUAGGACGUUUGAUGCUCAGCUCAUUACAAAGGAACAGCCAAAUCAAUUAAAUAAAAGAUACAUUUUGAGAAGCA